GUGAAAAUUCAGAGGAGCGACAGACAGCUUCCCUGGGAUCCCUGGGCCAGCAGCCAGUGCAGCGUUCAUACCAACCAUCACCAUAACCCGCACCACCCAGACCAUUGCCGAGUACCAGCCCUGGCUUUUCCGAAAGCGCUUACUCCAAACAGCCCUCCGGCUAUGGUGUCCUCGUCCUCUCCUACCUCUAUGAGUGCGUACAGCCUGAGUUCCCUGAACAUGGGGACUUUACCUCGAAGCCUCUACUCUACUAGUCCACGAGGAACCAUGAUGAGGAGGAGACUGAAAAAGAAGGACUUCAAAAGCUCACGUAAGUGAAAUGCUAACCAGAUGGUCUACUGGGUCUCUAGAAAAUUCACAAGAAGAGUACCCCAAGAGGUACAGUAGUUUGAGAGUUGCCGUGUAGCUGGUAGCUCUGUGCUAAGGAGCAUGAGUGAAACCCACGUCUGUAUGGUAAUGCUUACAUAUGGAUUUAGCUCACACUACCUUUUCCUAUAACUUUGUGCCUGCAUCUUUG
rnacentral:lncRNA from 1 species